rnacentral:tRNA from 1 species
GGGCCCAUGGCGCAGUUUGGUAGCGCGCUGGUCUUAUAAACCAGAGGUCAUCGGUUCAAAUCCGAUUGGGCCCA